ACUGGGACUGAGACACGGCCCAGACUCCUACGGGAGGCAGCAGUGGGGAAUUUUCCGCAAUGGGCGCAAGCCUGACGGAGCAAUACCGCGUGAGGGAGGAAGGCCUUUGGGUUGUAAACCUCUUUUCUUAAGGAAGAAGAUCUGACGGUACUUAAGGAAUCAGCAUCGGCUAACUCCGUGCCAGCAGCCGCGGUAAUACGGAGGAUGCAAGCGUUAUCCGGAAUUAUUGGGCGUAAAGCGUCCGCAGGCGGCAUUAUAAGUCUGCUGUCAAAGACCGCAGCUCAACUGCGGAAAGGCAGUGGAAACUGUAAAGCUAGAGUACGGUAGGGGUAGAGGGAAUUCCCAGUGUAGCGGUGAAAUGCAUAGAUAUUGGGAAGAACACCAGUGGCGAAAGCGCUCUACUGGGCCGUAACUGACGCUCAGGGACGAAAGCUAGGGGAGCGAAAGGGAUUAGAUACCCCUGUAGUCCUAGCUGUAAACGAUGGAUACUAGGCGUAGCUUGUAUCGACCCGAGCUGUGCCGAAGCUAACGCGUUAAGUAUCCCGCCUGGAGAGUACGCACGCAAGUGUGAAACUCAAAGGAAUUGACGGGGGCCCGCACAAGCGGUGGAGUAUGUGGUUUAAUUCGAUGCAACGCGAAGAACCUUACCAGGGCUUGACAUGUCGCGAAUCUAGGGGAAACUUUAGAGUGCCUUCGGGAACGCGAACACAGGUGGUGCAUGGCUGUCGUCAGCU
rnacentral:rRNA from 1 species